GCGUAGGUGGCAGAGUGGUCAAUUGCAAGAGACUGUAAAUCUCUCGGCCUAUGGCCUACGGGGGUUCGAAUCCCUCCCUACGCA
rfam:Parcubacteria bacterium GW2011_GWB1_44_7 TW71_C0001, whole genome shotgun sequence.